UGGGGAAUUUUGGACAAUGGGGGAAACCCUGAUCCAGCCAUCCCGCGUGUGCGAUGAAGGCCUUCGGGUUGUAAAGCACUUUUGGCAGGAAAGAAACGUCGCGGGUUAAUACCCCGCGAAACUGACGGUACCUGCAGAAUAAGCACCGGCUAACUACGUGCCAGCAGCCGCGGUAAUACGUAGGGUGCAAGCGUUAAUCGGAAUUACUGGGCGUAAAGCGCACGCAGGCGGUUUGUUAAGUCAGAUGUGAAAUCCCCGGGCUCAACCUGGGAACUGCAUUUGAAACUGGCAAGCUAGAGUCUCGUAGAGGGGGGUAGAAUUCCAGGUGUAGCGGUGAAAUGCGUAGAGAUCUGGAGGAAUACCGGUGGCGAAGGCAGCCUCCUGGGAUAACACUGACGCUCAUGCACGAAAGCGUGGGGAGCAAACAGGAUUAGAUACCCUGGUAGUCCACGCCCUAAACGAUGUCAACUAGCUGUUGGGGCCUUCGGGCCUUGGUAGCGCAGCUAACGCGUGAAGUUGACCGCCUGGGGAGUACGGUCGCAAGAUUAAAACUCAAAUGAAUUGACGGGGUCAUAGCUGUUUCCUG
rnacentral:rRNA from 1 species